GAGCGAGAAAGAGGAGCAAUCCUUGAGUACAGCGGCGUACGGGUGAGUAACACGUGGGUAAUCUACCUCUGAGUGGGGAAUAACCCUGGGAAACCGGGGCUAAUACCGCAUAAGCCUGAGAAGGGAAAGCAGCAAUGCGCUGAGAGAGGAGCCCGCGGCCGAUUAGCUAGUUGGUGAGGUAAAGGCUCACCAAGGCGAUGAUCGGUAGCCGGCCUGAGAGGGCACACGGCCACACUGGCACUGAAACACGGGCCAGACUCCUACGGGAGGCAGCAGUGGGGAAUCUUGCACAAUGGAGGCAACUCUGAUGCAGCGACGCCGAGUGAGCGAUGAAGCCCUUCGGGGUGUAAAGCUCUUUCGGCAGGGACGAUAAUGACGGUACCUGAAGAAGAAGCUGCGGCUAACUACGUG
rnacentral:rRNA from 1 species